rnacentral:rRNA from 1 species
ACGCUGGCGGCGUGCCUAANCAUGCAAGUCGACGGAGUCAUUCUUGGUGGCAACAUCUUGGGUGAUUUAGUGGCGAACGGGUGAGUAACACGUGAGGAACUUGCCCCGAAGACCGGGAUAACAGGAGGAAACUCUUGCUAAUACUGGAUGUCCUCGCUGGGUCGCAUGGUCUGGUGAGGAAAUGCUUUUGCGCUUCGGGAGGGUCUCGCGGCCUAUCAGCUUGUUGGUGGGGUAAUGGCCUACCAAGGCGUCGACGGGUAGCUGGUCUGAGAGGACGAUCCGCCACACUGGGACUGAGACACGGCCCAGACUCCUACGGGAGGCAGCAGUGGGGAAUUUUGGACAAUGGGGGCAACCCUGAUCCAGCCAUUCCGCGUGAGUGAAGAAGGCCUUCGGGUUGUAAAGCUCUUUCAGCUGGAGUGAAACGGUGCGCUCUAACAUAGCGUGCUAAUGACGGUACCAGCAGAAGAAGCACCGGCUAACUACGUG